UACGAGUGCCCCGAGCGUUAUCCGGAAUUAUUGGGCGUAAAGGGUGUGUAGGUGGUCGUGUUAGUCGUUUGUUAAAACCUGGGGCUCAAUUCCAGACCGGCGAACGAAACGGCACAACUAGAGGAUGGCAGGGAUGUAUGGAACUCAUGGAGUAGGGGUGAAAUCCGUUGAUAUCAUGGGGAACACCAAAAGCGAAGGCAGUACAUUGGGCCACUCCUGACACUGAAACACGAAAGCGUGGGUAGCGAAUGGG
rnacentral:rRNA from 1 species